rnacentral:lncRNA from 1 species
UGUUUCCAAAAGAAAAAACUACAUUAUAUAUUGUUGAAAGUUUCACUAUAAAAUAAUUUUAAAGGUAUACAUACCAAACAAUAGAGGCAAAAUAUAUAAAGCAAAAAUUGAAAGAAUUAAAAAGGAAAAUAUGUAAUUCUACAAUAGUAGUUGGAGACUUCAAUACAUGACUUUACCAUUCAAUGUGGAAAGUACAGUCUGUUCCGCAAAAUGGUGCUGGUAAAAUGGGAUAUUUUCAUGCAAAUGAUUGAAGUCAAUCCCUUACCUUAUUCCACAUUUAAAAAGUUAAGUCAAAACAGAUAAAACAUCUAAAUUUAAGUGUCACUAUUACAAACUUCUUUAAAAAAUUAGGACAAAUCUGCAUGGUGGUGGAUUUGGCAAUAAUUUUUAAGUAUACUAAAAAUAUAAGCAACAAAAGAUAAAAUUGGCAUAUUUGACUUCAUUAAAUUAAAAAAAAAAAACUUGUGCACCAAGGACACUAUAAAGAAAGUAAAAACAACCCACAGAUUGGGAGAGAAUAUUUGUAAACUAAAUAUGUGACAAGAGGUUAAUAUUCAGAAUUUGUGAAUAAUUUCUACAACUCAACAAGACAAAGAACCUAAUCAACAAAACGGACAAAAGACUUCUAUAGACAUUUCUCCAUAUAAGAUUGAUUAAUGGGCUGGGUGAGGUGGCUCAUACCUGUAAUCCCAGCGCUUUGGGAGGCUGAAGUGGACAAAUCACGAGGUCAGGAGUUCGAGACCAGCCUGGCCAACAUGGUGAAACCCUAUCUCUACUAAAAAUAAAAAAAUUAGCCAGGCAUGGUGGCAGGUGCCUGUAAUCCCAGCUACUUGGGAGGCUGAGGCAGGAGAAUCACUUGAACCUGGGAGGCAGAAGUUGCAGUGAGCCGAGACGGCACCACAGCACUCCAGCCUGGGCAACAGAGUAAGACUCCAUCUCAAAAAAAAAAAAAAGAAAAAAAAAAAGAUUGAUUAAUGGUCAAUGGGCACAUGAAAAAAAAAUGCUCAAGAAAUAGAAAAUGGAAAACAUGUAAACCAAAAUCACACCACUUCAAAAAUUCUGUGAUAGCUAUAAUCAGGAAGAUGAAAAAUAACAAGCGUUAGCAAGGAUGCAGAGAAAUUGGAACUCUUGUACGUUGUAGGUGGAAAUGUGAAAUGAUGUAGCUGCUGUAGAAAUGUUUGGUGAUUUCUCCAAAAAUUAGACAUAGAAUUACUAUAUGACCAGCAAUUUCCCUCCUAGUGUAUAUCUGAAAAAAAUAAAAUUAGGGACUCAAACAAAUAUAUGCAUAUCAAUAUUUUAGCAGUAUUAUUCACAAAGGUAGCAAUAACACAAGCAUCUAUGAACAGAAGAAUAAAUAAAAGGGGUAUAUAUCACAAUGGAAUAUUAUUCAAUCAUCAGAAGGAAUGAAGCAUUGAUAUAUGCUACAACAUGAUUGAACCUUGAAAACAAUAUAUUAAGUGAAAUCAACCAGACAUAAAGAAACAUAUAUUUUAGAAGAGUGAACAUGUAUAUGAGAUAUCUAGAAUAGGAAAAUUCAUAGAGACAUAAUAUAGACUAGAAGUUAUCAAGGGCUGGGGUUAAAGCGAAUUGGGAAGUUGUUGCCUAAUGAGUACAGUAGAGGGUUUGGGUUGAUAACAAAUUUUGGAACUAGAUAGUGGUGAUGGUUGUAC